rnacentral:lncRNA from 1 species
CCUGACUGUCUCUGAACUCACUCUGUAGACCAAGCUGGCCUCAAACUCAGAAAUCUGCCUGCCUCUGCCUCCCAAGUGCUGGGAUUAAAGGCAUGUGCCACCACUCCCGGCCUGUAUUACAUUCUCAACCAGCAACAUGCGAGGGUCUGCUGUUUCUGCACAUCAGUACUGAUUUUCUAUUUCUCUUUGAAUAUGAGAAAUUGACUAGGUUUCAGUAUUUCUGAACUUGUUCUUAAGGUCUCAUCCUCAGAACAUUGUGGAACGUUUAUAAGAUUCCGACUCUUGACACCCCCCCCCCCCCACCUCAGACCAAAUGGGACCAGUGAGGCUGGGUGUAGCGGUUUGACAAGCCCCAGCGCACGCUGAUGCUUCUAAUGGUGGUGGGAAGGCUUCCUGCAGGAUGAUAGAAGGAGGUGGGGCAGGACUCAAACCACAGCAACGGGGACUUCAAGCCACGUUCUCAGGGACCAUCCUAUCGCGGGGCACAAUUACAAACAGUUAUCUGUCUGUCAUUACAAGCCUGAAGUCUUUGCAGACGUGGACCUGUAAAAAUUCAAGUCAAGAUCUGGAAAUGAGACAUUUCUAACUAAGGAAAUGCUCUUCAAAACUUAGAAUUUUUACCAGCGACCCUCCAGCAAAAUGCUCUAUUAUCAGCUUCCUACAGACCUCUUGAGAGCCACCCUCAGGCAUUAUUCCGGAAGCAAUCCUCCCCGGCUCACUUCCCUGGCUGGGCCGCCCUUCAUGAGGGAUUGAUUUUUUUUUUAAUUUGAGAAAUGAGUACCUCAUCACGUACAA